rnacentral:rRNA from 1 species
UACGUAGGGUCCAAGCGUUAUCCGGAAUCACUGGGCGUAAAGCGUGCGUAGGCGGAUGUUUUAAGUGUGAUGUUAAAUCGUGGGGCUCAACCCUGUCGUUGCAUCGCAUACUGGGCAUCUAGAGGACGGCAGAGGCAAGUGGAACUCGUAGUGUAGCAGUGAAAUGCGUAGAUAUUACGAAGAACACCAAUGGCGAAGGCAGCUUGCUGGGCCGACCCUGACGCUGAGGUACGGAAAGCGUGGGGAGCGAACAGG